AUGUGGAGAAGAUGAUAAGUACAUUUUGUCGGUAUCUAAGACCGAUGCAUCCAAAAAUCGCUGCACAGCUAAGGAAUACACAACCAGUUCGACUAGAGUUGCCAUGGCAAACACUUUACAAUGGCAUCGACUGUGGUAUUUUCCUUAUGCGGCAUAUGGAAACUUACAAUGGAACACACGUUGGACAUUGGG